AUUGAACGCUGGCGGCAUGCUUUACACGUGCAAGUCGAACGGUAACAGGCCGCAAGGUGCUGACGAGUGGCGAACGGGUGAGUAAUGCAUCGGAACGUGCCCAGUCGUGGGGGAUAACGCAGCGAAAGCUGCGCUAAUACCGCAUACGAUCUAUGGAUGAAAGCGGGGGACCGUAAGGCCUCGCGCGAUUGGAGCGGCCGAUGUCAGAUUAAGUAGUUGGUGGGGUAAAGGCUCACCAAGCCAACGAUCUGUAGCUGGUCUGAGAGGACGACCGGCCAAACUGGGACUGAGACACGGCCCAGACUCCUACGGGAGGCAGCAGUGGGGAAUUUUGGACAAUGGGCGCGAGCCUGAUCCAGCAAUGCCGCGUGCAGGAAGAAGGCCUUCGGGUUGUAAACUGCUUUUGUACGGAACGAAACGGUCCUGGUUAAUACCUGGGGCUAAUGACGGUACCGUAAGAAUAAGCACCGGCUAACUACGUGCCAGCCGCCGCCGUAAAAC
rnacentral:rRNA from 1 species